UUUUGAUGGCCUUAUUAAUUACGUUUUUAUUCGAUAUUUCAGAGUUAUAGAUCCGUGGCUGCUCCCGUUUGGCUAGUUUCCGUCUCAGAAAAGGGGUUUUGCGGGGAACAUGAACAAUAGACGUUUUCCACCCGACGAGAGCGCCUCUUGCGAGUGUGUUGGUAUUCACUCCACGCAGAGUUACCAGAUGGCACUCGCACCAGGCGGAAAAUUACUCUUACGCUCCGCCCUAAAAUCCUCGUUUUUUCGUGUAGUGUUCCCCCGACUUGGGGUUCCUUUUAUCGUCAACCUGUAGUUGAGCUGCUCAACUUUUUGGUUGACCAUAAAACGGUUUUUACGUUGGUUGAGUAGAACUUUUUGGUUGAACUACGCAGUUAACCAUAAAACGAAAAUUGAUCUCUACAUGUGGAAAGCUCCUCCUCCUUUCCCAUCCCUUUCAGAAAUGCUUAAUUACAAAUUUGAUAGAAAUAAAAAAAAAUACUUGUUUUAGGAAAUAACGGUGUCUGUAAAUUUUUCAAAAAUAUUGAUAAAAGUAUUUUGUAGUUUAUUGAAAUUGGCAAAAUUUUUUAAUAUAUCGAUUAGUGUGGAGUAGCAGACGUAAAACGUCAACAUGAAAAAUUUGUAAACAACAAAAGGCAGAUGACAAAAUUUUUCUCAAUGUCUAUUCAGUAGUUAUUUACUUAUCUCUAAUCUCAAAUUUCUGGAAUAGAGGCAAUUCACAUCGCGGUUUCGCGUGUCAAUUGUUUCGAUGUCCGCCAUUUUCUCUGGUUGUUUAUGUUAUGUUUUGUGUUGUCUGUAAUGGCUGAAAGUGCUUUUUCCCAAUACAAAGUGGAUUUUGUGAAUCAGUGUUUAAUUUUUUUGUAUUUUUUUUUGUGUCAGUUAAUUGCUAAGUAUCUUGGGCUGUCAUGGAUGACACAGUACUAUUUGAAAUAGAAAUUCUGGAGCCAUUAUCUAUCAAAGUUACCGUUAUGUGUCAAAUUUGUAUUCACAAUGAAAUACAUAUAAAUCUCGAAGACGAA